CAAGGCUAAGCCUGAGGGGGCUGUGACAAUACAGAGGAAGGACUGAACAAGUCAGUCUUGAAGACACAAAGUCAAGGGGACUUCCAAGAGGAGAAAUGAUUGCCCUGGGUCUUGGAGAAGAACUGAAGCUGAGCAAGAGAAGGCGCCCCCUCCCCCACUGCCAAAAUCAGGAGCUGAGACGUCAAAGCUUCAUCUCAGGACCAGCAAGUGUCUCUAACCAGUAACGGUGGGAGCGGGACCCUCACAUUCAUUCUCGUAACUGAGCACAAUGAGACAUGCACGAUGGAGACCCAAAGGCAGCUUCGGGCUGAUGCUAUCACCUGAUACCUCCAAGCUACCAGGUGUUCCUUUCAGAAGCCAGAAGCUGAUAACCUUGGCUUUCUGAUCUAAGCCCCGGUCCAUGCCCAGGAUCUUCACAGGGGAAGACUCAGGGAGCAGCUCCCUCCCAGUGAGAGGUGGGUGCCAAGUUUCCUGUUCAAACCUGUUCAUCAGCAAACCACAGAGAAUGCCAGAAAUGUUGGGAGAAGUGGAAGCAUCACUGGGAUAAGUAAAGAACUUCACAAGACAAUUAUCUGAAGAUGAUACCUCAUUUGAAUAUACACGUUUUUGAUUAAAAAGCUAAAUGAAAUACAAUUACUCCUAUUACGUUGUAGACCUCUCUUGAGUCAUUGCUUUCACAGCUUGAUUAUAAAUUCCUUGGGACAAAAACUGUGUCUUAUAUAUCUUUUGUGCCUGGCAUGAUGACUAGCCCCAAAUUGAAAACAUUAUAAGCACAUAUGCCUUCUUGAUUUGUUGUUUCUUUCAUUGUUGAUGGAUGAGACAUUUCCUUGGAUUAUACACCUCACUGAUCUCUUCCACUAAUUAAAACAGCCAAUUCAAA